CAUCUCUCAGCUCCGCUGCAGCACACUGGUCCAGUGUGUGCUUGGCGUAUUAGGGGAGAGAGAGGAUGGCCCUCCUAAUGCACAGCAGACGUGCCCCAAAGUGGCCCUCUGCUCCCAGGAGUGCAACAGCU